UUAUUUAGAUGACAUCGAUUUUGGAGGGCAUUCUCCUCUUACAGCUGCAUUCUUUUUAGCUAUCGGCUGUUUACAAAAUGGUUCAGCACAUAUAAGAAGAAUUGGUGAUUUUCGCGUUCAUCCCAGAAUAAUUCUUAUAUCUGACGGCAAACCCACAGACUUCACUGUUGUUAGUGAUGCUGAUGAUCAUCUUCCAUAUGCAACUGCAAGGGUAUUCAAACAGUUUACGAGUAGUACAGUCUAUUACACUAUUUAGUGUUUAGAAGAUCAAUCAAUUUUAUAAUAUUUAUCACAUCUUUAAACAAUGUUAAAUUUCAGAUAAAUUCAAAGGCAAUCACGUUCUUAUUGUAAGUAAAAAAUACCGCUGUUGAAAUUAAUGUUUUUGUGGGUACGUAAAAUUUCAUUGGUACGUGGGGAUGUUAUUUUAUAGGUAACCCGUACUUGUAAAUACUGAAGAUACAUUUGCAAAAUAUUUCUUUAUUGUUCAUAGUGAUGUACAAAAUUUGGAUACUGUAAAUUCACGAAUCUUCUUGAGGGUUUAAUGUUCGUGGAUUUCGUGGGUCACCCUUUAUCCGCAAAGAACAAAAUUCACCUUGGGCCUCUUAUGGCCCUGUGAAUUUCUGGAAAAUAAGAACUGCUCAUUUUUAGGUGGAAUUACCUUAAUUUUUACUUGGACCC